AACGAACGCUGGCGGCAUGCCUAACACAUGCAAGUCGAACGAGACCUUCGGGUAUAGUGGCGCACGGGUGCGUAACGCGUGGGAACCUGCCCUUAGGUUCGGAAUAACUCCCCGAAAGGGGUGCUAAUACCGGAUAAUGUCUUCGGACCAAAGAUCUAUCGCCUUUGGAUGGGCCCGCGUUGGAUUAGCUAGUGGGUAGGGUAAAAGCCUACCAAGGCGACGAUCCAUAGCUGGUCUGAGAGGAUGAUCAGCCACACUGGGACUGAGACACGGCCCAGACUCCUACGGGAGGCAGCAGUGGGGAAUAUUGGACAAUGGGCGGAAGCCUGAUCCAGCAAUGCCGCGUGAGUGAUGAAGGCCUUAGGGUUGUAAAGCUCUUUUACCCGGGAUGAUAAUGACAGUACCGGGAGAAUAAGCUCCGGCUAACUCCGUG
rnacentral:rRNA from 1 species